CAAUAAGCGGAGGAAAAGAAACUAACAMGGAUUCCCCUAGUAACUGCGAGUGAAGCGGGAAAAGCUCAAAUUUAAAAUCUGGCGGUCUUUGGCCGUCCGAGUUGUAGUCUGGAGAAGUGCUUUCCGCGCUGGACCGUGUAUAAGUCUCUUGGAACAGAGCGUCAUAGAGGGUGAGAAUCCCGUCUUUGACACGGACUACCAGUGCUUUGUGAUGCGCUCUCAAAGAGUCGAGUUGUUUGGGAAUGCAGCUCAAAAUGGGUGGUGAAUUCCAUCUAAAGCUAAAUAUUGGCGAGAGACCGAUAGCGAACAAGUACCGUGAGGGAAAGAUGAAAAGCACUUUGGAAAGAGAGUUAAACAGUACGUGAAAUUGCUGAAAGGGAAACGCUUGAAGUCAGUCGCGUUGUCCGGAACUCAGCCUUGCUUUCGCUUGGUGCACUUUCCGGAUGACGGGUCAGCAUCGAUUUUGACCGUCGGAAAAGGGCUGGAGUAAUGUGGCACCUCCGGGUGUGUUAUAGACUCUGGUCGCAUACGACGGUUGGGAUCGAGGAACGCAGCGCGCCGCAAGGCAGGGGUUCGCCCACUUUCGCGCUUAGGAUGCUGGCAUAAUGGCUUUAAACGACCCGUCUUGAAACACGGACCAAGGAGUCUAACAUACCUGCGAGUGUUUGGGUGGAAAACCCGAGCGCGUAAUGAAAGUGAAAGUUGAGAUCCCUGUCGUGGGGAGCAUCGACGCCCGGACCUGACGUUCUCUGACGGAUCCGCGGUAGAGCAUGUAUGUUGGGACCCGAAAGAUGGUGAACUAUGCCUGAAUAGGGUGAAGCCAGAGGAAACUCUGGUGGAGGCUCGUAGCGAUUCUGACGUGCAAAUCGAUCGUCAAAUUUGGGUAUAGGGGCGAAAGACUAAUCGAACCAUC
rnacentral:rRNA from 1 species